UCACGAAUUAAAAAUUCCAUAAGAGCUUUGUGUGUAUUGAAAGAAAGUAAGGUAGAAAAAUGUCUUCUCAUGUAAUUUUUGGAGGUUAUCGACCAUGUGAGAAUUCAGAUGGUCCACAUGCGAAAGAAGUAGCACAAUGGGCAGUAACAGAAUACAACAUAAAACACCGCCAUGAACGUCCUUACUUGUACCUUCUUAGUGUAUUGAAGUGCGAGUCGCAAGUGGUGGCUGGAACCAAUUGGCGUCUGGGGUUGAAGUGUAAGGAUGAAAAUAAUAUUGAGGUAAACUGUGAGGCUGUUGUGUGGGAGAAGAGAUGGGAGAAUUUCAGGGAGCUCACAUCCUUCAUAGUAUUCUACCCAUCUUCUGGUUGACAAGGGAUAUCCCCUUGUAACUCCCUACCUAAAGCUAUUGCUUUUAUGCCUAUGUAUGUUAUGUACUUCCCCUCCUUUACUAUCAAUAUAUAUAUAUAUAUAUAUAUAUAAAUAAUGGGAUUAUAAAAUAAAUCAAUUGGUAUAUUUAAAAAUUCUGGAUACUAUUCUAAAUCCUAGGCGUAGACAUUACAAACACUUCCCUACUUAUAAAUAUGAUAUAUAAUAAAUGAUAAUUACUUUGAUAUAUCAAUUUUAUAACUUUUAUAUUUUAUGUUUGGUAUAUUAGUUAAGUGAUCGUAUAUACCAAAAAUAAAGUAAAAUAUAUUUUUUUGCUUAUAUACAAAAAGUAUUGUAUUUUAAAAUUUUGGAUUAUAUUGGAUUGACAUAGUAAGUAAGCAACUAAACUGAAGUGACAGUAUAGGUAAGCAACUCAAGAAUGUAUGUAUAUACCUGUAAUGCUUUCUUUUUAAGUGUUGAAUUCACCAAACACCAUAUUUCUAAACGAUUGCAUUAUAAUUCAGUUAGCAAAUGGUUAACUUAUUAACUAAAACAAUUUAGAUGUCAGGGUGAGCAUUUUUGAAGAUUUUCAAAAAAAUAAAUUCUUCUAAAAAAUGGAAACCAGCUAAUGGAUGAUAUUAGUUUCACAAUGUAUUUUAGCUUAGAAUUUUUUGUGACAAAAUGGACUUGAAGUUAAAGUUAACUCACUUGUAAGAAAUAAGUGCAAUCCAAGAUAUGAAAAUUUCUCGAAGGUUUAGCUAUCACUACUACAAAAACAGGCUUUCUUGACGUUUUUAAACUGUCAAGAGACGGCUCUCUUGACGGUUUUAAAAACGUCGUUGAAGCCAGCGUCAAGAAUGGCAAAGUUCUUGACGGUUGAUUAAACGUCAAGAAUAGUGAACGUUGACGUUGUAUAAACGUCAAAUAUACUUAUGUUCAUGACGUUUUAGAACUGUCAAGACUGGUAUUGUUUAUGACAUUUUAAAGCCGUCAAGGAUGAACUGGUUUAUGACAUUUUAAACCCGUCAAGAAUUUUAAUAUUCAUGACAUUUUAAAACUGUCAAGAAUGUAAUUGUUCUUGACAUUUGUCAACCGUCAAAAAUGCAAUUGUUCAUGACAGUUUAAAACCGUCAAGCUUGCAAUUAUUCAUGACAUUUUAAAACCGUCAAGCAUUUUUUAUUUUUUAUUUUUUUAAAAAAAAUUGUAAUUGAAUUAUGCUGUAAUUGAAAGAAAUAUAUUCUGAUUGUCCUGUAAUUGUCCAGCAACAAUUUCAUAGAUAUUUAAUAUUCAUCAAAUAUAGUUUCAAAUCUCAAACAUAUAUAAAUAAAACCAUUCACCAUAUAUAUUCAAUUCAAAGACUUUACAUAUACAUAAUGAAAUAAAUUUUACAUAAGAUUUCAUAUGGCAUUACAUUGCCAUGAAUCCAAAUCAACUUAGAAAGUCACAAAACAUGCUAGCUAUAACAAUAAUCAAAAGUAUAUACGAAUGAACCCCCCUCCCCCCUCCCUUCCUCCAUAUGAACAAUUCAAAAGAAUUAUCGGCUAAAGUUUUUAUACAUAAAGUUUAGGGUCAUAAAGAAGCGACACAACAAAAAAUUUCCUACUUCAGAAUCACAAAAUAUUGGUCAUAAUCAUAUGUAAGAACCCAAAAAGUCAGCUAACUCGACUCGCACCUCGUCUAGUUCUGCCUGUGAGUAUGAUCUUCGUGUAUCAAUCUAUAAACAUGCAAAAUAAAUUAAAUGAAUUAACUGACUAUACAAAUAAACCAAUUAACUCACAAAAUCAAUAGUUUGAUAUAUAACAUAUUGCAUCGAAUAUGACAAUGCUUCCCCUAGUCACAAUUUCUUUACUGUUCGCCAUAAAGUUUGUUUUCUACUUUUUUUUAAUGUUCUUUUGUCACUGAAACAUCGUUAUUGCUCUGUUUUGACAAGAUAAGAUUGAACAAAUAGUUUAAAUAUUGUGUACAUGCAUAUAAGAAUCAACACUAAAUGAAAUACUAGAUUAACUUACGUGUCAGUGACGUAUCUUAUAGUUGACUUCGAUGUUGUCCUUAGUGAGUCGAGGUAAAAUACUGUAUCAUCAUACGCAUUUAUGGCCAGCAGUGCCCAAUGACCCCUAAUUAUACAAAAUAUUAGUACUAGUUUUUUGUAAUGCAAGUAAUAAAAUAACUUAAUGGGUUAUCAAGUAAUAUAAUCAAUAAAAAUAACUCGUAUGAUAUUGAAUUAUUAUCUAGCCCACAAUUUUCAUCAAACCACAACAGUUAUAAUUACUUCAAUAAACCAUCUUUUAUGAAUACGAAAACUACUAGAAAUAGUUUCAAAAAGAGAAAUUUGCCAAAGUUUUCCUAAAUCUUAUGAACCAUAUAAGAUGUUAUAUUGAAAUACUAUACCAAUAUAAGAUUUGUAAUUAUUUAAAAACUCAUCUACAAAACAAACCAAAAAGAACUUCACCUCCCUUGGACAGUUGAAACCCUCCAAACUUCUAAUCCAACCCAAAAAUAAAAUUAAACCAAUUAUUAUUUUCGUUUGGGUAAGCGUCAUAAAAAUAAUGUCUCUUGGGACUUCUAAAACUAUUUAUCUUACCACACAAGAUAGUACAUCACGAACCAAUAGAAAUUGUACAAGAUAUUUUACGCUCUAGAUGGUUACUUUCAAAAUUUCUGAAAAAUUAAUUUAUGAAGUGAAGAUGUAGCUAAAAUAACCUUUUGAGGAGCUCGUCGUAUGCUUUGUCUGGAAUCUUCACAACACUUGGUGACCAGCUUACACAUAGCCUAUAGAAAUGUUCACCAUAUAGGCAUUAUAGAAUCAAGAAAAGGAUAACAAGGAAAGAUGCAAAAUGAUUUGGAGAUUACCUGGAUAUGUUCUUUGGUCAAUCUGGUAUAGCAAGCAUAAAAAAGAAACAUCAGGAAAAAAUAUUUAUCAAAAUGUGAAGCUCAAGCUACGAUAUGCUUUAACAUUUAAAGAACAACCAUAGAGAUAGUGGAAGAGAAACACAUAAAAGCUUACGGUGGCAUGACUGCAAUUAACCUCUCUUCGUCUACUCUUCGUGCUACAUCUAAAGGAGAUGAGAUUAUAGCACUCUCUAAAUUCAUUAGUGUCUCCAUAGAAAAGUAAUUAUCAUAAGAAUGACAAUUCAAAUACCACUUUUCAGCUAAGAACACUAACAUACGUGUUGAUAGUGUUUCGAUAAUGACAAUAAUAAAAGCAUAACUCAAUUUGAUAUAUUUCAAGAGUUGCCAAAGAUGAAAAAUGAAAGAUUACAUGCAACAUUUGCUAUGCUAAGUGCACAAAUCUAUGGAAUGUUUGGAUUGAAUUUCUAAUUACUUAAAGAAAUGUGUUAGUACGUACUAUUGCUCCAAGUCAAACAUGUUUAUAAUUUAAAUUUCUGUUGACAUGUUUCUUGAUUAAGGAGUUGCAACUAGAAUUUUAAACUUCUAAAAUUUCAUAACACACAUAAUAUAAUUAAUUCGAGUACCUACUAGUUUCUAAUUAUAUUAGCUUUUUAACUUGUGGAUUUGGAAGGAAAAUAUGUGAAGAAGUUAGUUUGGUAUUAAGAUAAUAGAAAAUGCAGAAAUUAUAUAUAACAGAUCACAUUGUCUUUUUUUGUAUAAUAUAUAAUGCAAAUACACAUAUAACCCCAUCUAAUUCACCCAAUUUCUCUCGGUCUAAAUCCAAUAAUAAUGCACAGCCACAUUCAAUUUGAAGUUUUCAUAUCCAAUAACCUUCAUAACUCAAAUAUUAUGCACAGCCACAUUCAAUUUGAAAUUAACUAUAAGGAGUAUCUCAUUAUCUUAAGUUUCUCAUUAAAAUGAAACGUAUAAUACCUUUUUUAUUCUUUUGAAUUACAAAAGUAUUUGAAAUAUUCGGACUCCUUCUUCGUGUGUUUAAUUUCUCACAUUGGCCUCUUGAAUUGAAUGCUUUUCUAAAACUAAUUUAAAAGAGAAAAAAAAAGGAUAAUUUAGAAUCAUUGGGGCAAAAUCAAUGUUUAUUUUUUUAAAAAAAAUUGUUAGUUCCACACAUAGGAUAAUGAAGAAUGUAUCUCUUUCACUUUAACAUAGUAAUGUAAAAACCCAACUUCUCCCUAUCUUUUAUUUCAUGCAUGUGAUCUAAACAAAACAACUAUUUUCAAACGAAUAAAACAAAAACUUUGAACACAUCUAAAAAGAAAAGUAAACUUUUGAACAAUUUAAAUAAAAGUACACUUGCAAAAAUAGCAAAAUAAUUGAAGAUAAUAGAGCUCAUGUUACUACAUUUUCUAAAUUACAAAAAUGGUAAAUUUAAAAAACGAAUAACCCUCUGAUAGUGCUUAAUAUCCCUUCGAUAGUUGUCUUAAUAUCGUUAAUUACUUGUCAUAUUUGUCAUAUUUGCAAUAUGAAAAAAAAAGGUACUAUGUGCAGAUUUUUUCGAUUUUUUUUUUCUUGAUUGGAUGCAAUUUCCUUUAAACAAAAUUAAUAUAACUACUUGGUUGAACUACACUUCAAUAUGAUUAGAAGGUUUUCCACAAUUUCUUGAUAACUUUUUAUAAAAAUUAAGAACUAAAAAACACUUGAAAAUGUAUUCUCAAACAUACCUUUACUUUUAUUUAGAAAGACUAGAAAAACUAUAUCCAAAUUUCUAUGCUUUAGAUGAUAUAAGUGAUCUAAACACCGGUAAAUUAACUUCUAAAGACCUACUGAAUGUGAUUUAUAUAUGACAAUGGUAGGUACAAAUUUUAAUACUAGACAAUAAAAAGGUUAAGGUGAUCCUCCUGUUAAUUAAGCAAAAUCCAUCAAAGUCAUGUCAGAAGUUUAAAAUCUUGAAAUAUAUAUGUUCACUGUUAACAUGAACAAAAGUUUAUUUGAAGCAUAUAUUUUAAAUAUUAUACGUAUUAUUAUUUAAAUAAAUAGGUUGUGUAACUCACAAAAAGCAUGUAUAUAUAGUUUAGCUUUUGGAAUUCAAAAUUAUCAUAUUUUAAUAAACCUACUUUUCCUUCUUACUUAAUUACCUUUUAGAAGUAGAGUAUUAGAUUCCACAAAUUAAAGAAUUAAUAAUAAAUUAAGUAGAAGGAAAAGAGUGGAAUAAAUUGGAGUAGUAUAAAUUUGAAACCCCCUUGUUUCGAAACAAAUCACGAAUUAAAAAUUCCAUAAGAGCUUUGUGUGGAUUGAAAGAAAGGUAGAAAAAUGUCUCCUGAACCAAUUGUUGGAGAUUAUCGACCAUGUGAGAAUUCAGAUGGUGAACAUGCGAAAGAUGUAGCACAAUGGGCAGUAACAGAAUACAACAUAAAACACCGCCCUGAAGGUCAUUACUUGUACCUUGUUAGAGUAUUGAAGUGCGAGUCGCAAGUGGUGGCUGGAACCAAUUGGCGUCUGCUGUUGGAGUGUAAGGAUGAAAAUAAUUGUGUGGAAAUCUAUCAGGCCGUUGUGUGGGAGAAGGUAUGGGAAAAUUUCAGGCAGCUCACAUCCUUCGUACGAAUCAUACCUGUCCUUUCUCAUGAAUAAACUUACUCCCUACCUAAACUUAUUGCUUUUAUGCAUAAGUAUAUACUAUGUUAUGUACUUCCCCUCAUAUAUAGAUCUAUAAAUAAGGAGAUUAUAAAAUAAAUCAAUUACUCCAAAAAUAUAUAAGUUAUGUACUUACUCCAAAAAUGGUGUGAUAUGAUAAGAGAGCGAGAUAUUAGUCGAAGAAGUUUUGGUGUGUCCUCUACAAAAAGAAAAGUAUAAUAAAGCUAAAUAAUGAUAGUAUUUGAAUAAAUAUGUUAAAUAACGCAGAAAAAUGUGUCGAAAGUGUCAAGUGUCCAAUCUAAGAAUUUUGGAUACUAGUCUAAAUUCUAUGCUUGGGACAUUACAAACACUGCGGAUAGAUAUGAUAUAUAAUAAAUGAUAAUUAUUUUGAUAUAUCAAUUUUAUAACUUUUAUAUUUUAUGUUUGGUAUAUUAGUUAAGUGAUCGUAUAUACCAAAAAUAAAGUACAUUUUAUGACUGAUAUACAAUAAGUAUUGUAUUUUGAAAUUUUGGACUAUAUUGGAUUGACAAAGCAACUAAACUGAAGUGGCAGUAUAGGUAAGCAACAAACGAAUGUAUGUAUAUACCUAUAAUGCUUUCUUUUUAAGUGUUGAAUUCACCAAACACGGUAUUUUUAAACGCUUGCAUUAUAAUAGAGUUAGCAAAUGGUUAACUUAUUAACUAAAACAAUUUAGAUGUUGGUGAGCAUUUUUUGAAGAUUUUCAAAAAAAUAAAUCCUUCUAAAAAAUGGAAACUAGCUAAUGGAUGAUAUUGGUUUCACAAUGUAUUUUAGCUCAGGACUUUUUCUAACAAAAUGGAUUUGAAGUUAAAGUUAACUCAAAGUAUUUAAAAUAAAAGAUAAAUAUUUAUACAUUUUUUUACUAUUGAUUAUUUUUUACGUUUUUUUUUUUUUACUUGACAGUUUUUAUUAACAUUGUCAAGAAUAUCAAAAUUGCAAGCGUCAAAUAUUGUCAAUUUUGUAGCAAUGAGAUAAACAUGAUUUGAAAAAACAAACAAAGAUCAGAAUAAAAACAUUAGAUGAAUAAAAUGAAAGAAUGACUCAUCGAUAAAAAAAAAAAAAAAGGAAGACGAAUAAUUGAGUAAAACGUCGAGGGUAUUUUUGGAAUAAAAGAAAAUUAAUAUAUUUCCUCCAAUUUUUUUCUUGCCAUAGGAUGUAGAUAAUUUCAAUUUUCUUCUAUAUAAAUUUCCCUUAUUUUAAUAGAUAAAUUUGGAUCUGAUUCACUUAUUUAAUUUUUAUAUUCAUAAGAAUUUCUCCAAAGUGAAAAAAGAAAAGAAAAUAGAAAGUUUAAACACGUGUUAUUUACUCUACUCAACUCUAAAAAAAAUGUUGAUGUCUUUCUUUUGGGUGAUAAAACAUUACUGGUUUUUCAAGAGUAAAAUAUUAAAAAUAAAAAUGACUAUAAAACUAUUUACAAAAUAUAACAAACUUCAUCAAACUAUUAGUCAUUUCUUUUAAGUUUUUUUUCCUAUAUAUUUAUUAUAUUUUGUAAAUAGUUUCAAUGGUUUGUAUUUGAUAAGUCCUAACAAAAAUGUAAAUAACAAAAAUGCUAAAAAAAAUAAAAAAGUACAGUAAAAUUUUAGAUUUUUUCCAUGAUAAGUACUCACAUAUACGAUAGACUUCUAUCAAUUUUUAUUGUCAUACAAUCUUGUAAAUACUUCGGUUCAUUUUUUAUAAUAAUUCACCAUGCACAACAAAGUGUGUAUAUCCUAGAAAUUAAGUAUAUGCACUAUUUUAAUUUAGAUUUUGAUGGUUGACAAUUUCGUUUUUCAUUUUUAUCUUUUUAAAAUUAAACUUAUAACACCUCUUUCACCAUCCAACAACUGGUUUGGAUAUUUAUAUUUUUACUCAUCAAAUUUAAAAUCUAAGAAAAAAUAGUUUUAGAUAUGAGGGAAUUUUUGGAACUCAAAUUUUCAUCUCAUGGGAAAACAACACUUCAGUAGUAAAUGAAUGCUAAGCUAAAAUCACUAUUAGCACAUAGAUUUAUUUUUCUUUAGAGAUGAACAUUUUAAAAAAAUGUUUAAGUAAAAUUACUACGAGAGAAAAUAUACUUAAUUAUUUUUUUUAAAGAAAAUAAAAGAUCAAACAAAAUAGUCACUAGACGAGACUUGAAUUUCGAUAGUUUUCGAACAACGGCUAAAUAAGACACGGAAACAACUACAAGCAUGGAUAUGUAAUUUGGUAUUUUUCUCAUCGUCAUCAGGCAGUUGUUGUGAAGAAUUGUCUAGAGAAAGAAGUUUGCACCUUUUUUUUUUAAUUCACAAUUUCUCAUUAAAAAGAAACGUAGAAUACCUUUUUUAUUCUUUUGAAUUACAAAAGUAUUUGAAAUAUUCGGUGUACGGACUCCUUCUUCUUCGUGUGUUUAAUUUCUCACAUUGGCCUCUUGAAUUGAAUGCUUUUCUAAAACUAAUUUAAAAGAAAAAAAAAGAGGAUAAUUUAGAAUCAUUGGGGCCAAAUCAAAGUUUAAUUUUUUAAAAAAUAUUUGUUACUUCCACACAUAGGAUAAUGAAGAAUGUAUCUCUUUCACUUUACCAUAGUAAUGUAAAAUCCCAACUUCUCCCUAUCUUUUAUCUCAUGCAUGUGACCUAAACAAAACAACUAUUUUCAAACUAAUAAAACAAAAGCUUUGAACACAUCUAAAAAGAAAAGUAAACUUUUGAACAAUUUCAAUAAAAGUACACUUGCAAAAAUAGCAAAAUAAUUUAGGAUAAUAGAGCUCAUGUUACUACAUUUUCUAAAUUGCAAAAAUGGUAAAUUUAAAAAACGAAUAACUCUUUGAUAGUGCUUCAUAUCCCUUCGAUAGUUGUCUUAAUAUCGUUAAUUACUGGUCAUAUUUGUCAUAUUUGCAAUAUGAAAAAAAAAAAAGGUACUAUGUUCUACUUUUUUUUAUUUUUUUUUAUUGGAUGCAAUUUCCUAUAAACAAAAUUAAUAUAACUACUUGGUUGAACUACAUUUCAAACGCUAUUUGGCAUGUUUUCGAAACAUUUCAAUACGAUUAGAAGGUUUUCCACCAUUUCUUCAUAAUUUUUUAUAAAAAAUUAAGAACUAAAAAACACUUGAAAAUGUAUUCCCAAACACACCUUUACUUUUAUUUAGAAAGACUAGAAAACCUAUACUCAAAUUUCUAUGCUUUAGAUGAUAUAAGUGAUCUAAACACAGGUAAAUUAACUUCUAAAGACCUACUAAAUGUGAUUUAUAUAUGACAAUGGUAAGUACAAAUUUUAAUACUAGACCUUAAAAAGGUUAAGGUGAUCCUCCUGUUAAUUAAGCAAAAUGCAUCAAGGUCAUGUCAGAAGUUUAAAAUCUUGAAAUAUAUAUGUUCACUGUUCACUUAUACAUGAACAUAAGUUUAUUUGAAGCAUAUAUUUUAAAUAUUAUACGUAUUAUUAUUUAAAUAAAUACGUUGUGUAACUCACAAAAAGCAUGUAUAUAUAGUUUAGCUUUUGGAAUUCAAAAUUCUCAUAUUUUAAUAAACCUACUUUUCCUUCUUACUUAAUUACCUUUUAGAAGUAGAGUAUUAGAUUCCACAAAUUAAAGAAUUAAUAAUAAAUUAAGUCGAAGGAAAAGAGUGGAAUAAAUUGGAGUAGUAUAAAUUUGAAACCCCCUUGUUUACAAAGAAAUCACGAAUUAAAAAUUCCAUAAGAGCUUUGUCUGGAUUGAAAGAAAGUAAGGUAGGAAAAUGUCUUCUCAUGUAACUCUUGGAGCUUAUGGACCAUGUGAGAAUUCAGAUGGUGAACAUGCGAAAGAAGUAGCACAAUGGGCAGUAACAGAAUACAACAUAAAACACCGCCAUGAACGUCCUUACUUGUACCUUCUUAGUGUAUUGAAGUGCGAGUCGCAAGUGGUGGCUGGAACCAAUUGGCGUCUGGGGUUGAAGUGUAAGGAUGAAAAUAAUAUUGAGGUAAACUGUGAGGCUGUUGUGUGGGAGAAGAGAUGGGAGAAUUUCAGGGAGCUCAAAUCCUUCAUAGUAUUCUACCCAUCUUCUGGUUGACAAGGGAUAUCCCCUUGUAACUCCCUACCUAAAGCUAUUGCUUUUAUGCAUAUGUAUGUUAUGUACUUCCCCUCCUUUACGAUCAAUAUAUAAAGUAAAAUAUAUUUUAUUGCUUAUAUACAAAAAGUAUUGUAUUUUGAAAUUUUGGAUUAUAUUGGAUUGACAUAGUAAGUAAGCAACUAAACUGAAGUGACAAUAUAGGUAAGCAACUCAAGAAUGUAUGUAUAUACCUAUAAUGCUUUCUUUUUAAGUGUUGAAUUCACCAAACACCAUAUUUCUAAACGCUUGCAUUAUAAUUGAGUUAGCAAAUGGUUAACUUAUUAACUAAAACAAUUUAGAUGUCAGGGUGAGCAUUUUUUGAAGAUUUUCAAAAAAAUAAAUUCUUCUAAAAAAUGGAAACCAGCUAAUGGAUGAUAUUAGUUUCACAAUGUAUUUUAGCUUAGAAUUUUUUCUGACAAAAUGGACUUGAAGUUAAAGUUAACUCACUUGUAAGAAAUAAGUGCAAUCCAAGAUAUGAAAAUUUUUGGAAGGUUUAGCUAUAUCAUGUAAACCUACUUGUAAAAGAAGAGUAAAUGUAGCUUGAUCCUUUGAGAGAUACGUGUCAAUCUCUAGUUGCAACCACCAAUCAGAUUCACAUAUAAUAAGGGUAGAGGAGGCAACCACCAAAAACACAAGAUGUAACAGAAGAUUAGUUAGAGAAAAACUUCAUGAAUAUGCAGGGUGAGUGGAAAAAAAGGACAAACACAACAAGCACAUUGUAUAGUUGUCAAAGAAGUAAAAAAGUCAUUCAGUAUAAACUGUACUGUACAGCUCACAACCACAAAUUGACUACAUUGAAAGCAAAGGGUGGAUCAAUAGAAAGCGUAAUCCAACUACUCUGAAUUCAACAAACAGUAAAAUACAAAGCUAAGCAGAUCAAAACUUAUUUUAUUUCCUAAAAAAACAUAAUAUGAUCAAAGCUAAAUGAAGAGCACACUAAAGUAUGAGCUAUGUGUUUCAAUAUCAACGGAAGAAGAAACAAUACAAUUUAAUUAAAAGAAACAUAAUAUGAUCUAAAAUCUUAAGAUUCAAUUUAAAGAAACAAAUUGUCUUACCAUAUUCUAAAAUCCUAAGAUUCAAUUCAAAGAAACAAAUCACCUAUAGUUUAUUUUAUUUUCUAAAGAAACAUAAUAUGAUCAAAGUGAAACAGAUAGCACAUUAAAGCACAUAACGUUAUGUGUUUCAAUAUAGACGGAAGAAGAAGCUAUACAAUUUAAUUCAAAGAAACGGUGUAAAACAAUGAGAAAAGAAGAGGGGGGAGGGGGAGGGGGAGGGGGAGAUGUCUAAAGUGAAAGCAACAAAGUCCAUAAUGCGGAAAGGGGCAUGUCUACAUGAAAAGCAACAAAUGCAAUAUGAUUAAACUCAAUAAACGAAACUUAGCACUUCAAAACAUAAUGACACUACUCUUAAAUGGAUGAAACUCAAACAUUCUAAAACAAGGAGGGGGCAUGUCUAAAUUGAAAACUAAAAAAUGGUGUAAGCAUCAUGCACGUUGGUUUUGUCAUCAAGAAAGUAUAUAGCUGAAAGUUGUACCUCUUUAAAGAAAAUGGUAUAUAAUGUUAUGUUUGAAGUGAUAACUUUUGUAAUUGAUAAACGGAUGAAAGCCCAAGCAUAUCGAGUUGAAAGAUUUUCAAGACUUAUUACUAUUCCACCUACCAUAGCAAACAUCACAGAAGGCAAAUUAUAUCAUACAACAUUACAAAACCUAUUUUAUUUACCAUAUUGUCGACAUAAACAUAUUUGUCAAGUGCAAAUUGAAAAAACCGCCUCCAAAGUAUGAUGGUGUAGUUGCAAUUAUACUUUCAAACUUUCCAUCAUAAAAAUUGAACGCCCACAAACUUAUACAAUAAAACACCCACAAACGUGUACAAUUUCAACAACUAUGUAAGUCAAAUUUUAAUAUUUUUGUAUAAGUUUGAAGGAUUUUAAUUUUACCAUAUGACUAUGAAUGUGGUUUUUGUAAUUAAUUUACCAAUUUUUAAAGAUUGAGAUGAUUUAAAUUCCAUUUUAGUUCCUAAACUCUUAGAAGACAACUAAUUUAACACGUACUCUAUUAUUUUUCUAUCUAAUAACAGUUAUCCAAAUGUUUGUCAUUAACUUAUAUAUGAUUAUAAAACAUGUUCGAAUCGGCAUGCUAGUACUCAGACUUGAAACUAUGUCAUUGAUAAGAUCAAAAUAUCAUAUACUUUAAGAACUUAAGUACUAAACUACACUAAACUUGAAGAUAUUAUAGAAAACAGAGAGACCUGCCAUGAAAAGUGUCUUGUAUAGAUAUGAAAAUAGAAGAGAAAAAUAGAGGGAAAGAAAUGAACCUGAGAAAGCUGUUGGAUAAAAUUAAGAUGAUGAAGAAAGGAAUUCCAAAUCUCACUAAAGGUUAAACAAAUCUCACCAAAGGUUGAAUAAAAGCAACUACCGAAGAAGAAUAAAGUUAAAACAAAAGUUCUAGGUUAAUAUCUAAACAUCAAUCAUACUCGAAUGUUAGAAUAAACUUUCUAACAACUUCAAAAUAAAGAGAAGAAGAAAGGAUGUGAUGAACAACAAAUACAACCAAGUAGAGAUAAAAUUUCUGAAAAACUUAUAAUGGAGGGGUAGAAUAAUACUUGAAUGUUAGAAUAAACUUUCUUACAACUUCUUUAUUUAGGUACCUUAGAUAAAUCUGGAAUGUUUUUUUCUGAACUCUUUCCAUUCCCAAGCUUGAAAGCCAAGACAACCUAUCUUUUUCUAGAUUCUAUUUCUUAUAUGCAAAAAGUAGAAUACACGUGAUUUUCUUUAGUUCGUGAUUUUUACACUCUCUUUAGUUCGUGUUUUAUACUAACAUCUCUUUUUUCUAAUGUACGAAUUUUGUUCUUGAUUUGAAGAUGUAGAUUCAGAGCUGUUAGGAACCUUCCUGCUGAAUUUCUUCAUCAGUUGCCAAUGAGCUACUUGAAGGUAUAUGGAGUUUUAAGAAUAUGCUACUUGAAUGCACCCAAUAGUUGUUAUAGCUUAUUAGUUGAGUUAUAUCUUAUAAGUUGAGUAUUGAUAUAUGAGAAGAAAAGUUGGAAAUGAUUAAAGUUCUUCGGUUCCUAUAUAUUUCAAGUUGCCUUUUGCAAAAGUUUUUCCUUGCAGAAUACCAUAUUAUUUGCCCCUAGCCAAGUAUUGAGAUAGUUAUAAGGCAAAAACAUUUUUUUUUCUCUGUUACAAGUAACCAUUUGCACUAAUGACUGGAAAUGUGUAUUGUUCAUUGAAUAUUGCAUCUUCAUUUCCACAUUUUCUUGUUUCUAAUGGCCAUUUGUUAUGGUUAUAUCUUUGUAUCAUGUGGACGCUUGCUACUGAGUAUGGUUUUCGAAACUUGUAUUACUCUCAACUAUUAUUGUUGGUGCUCAUACUUCAAGUGUGAUCUCAUUAGUCAUCAUUUAGAUUGGUUAGUUAUAUAGGCAUUUUUUCCCUUUUUUUGUUGUGCUAAAAAAAUGUAUACUCCACUAUACUUAAAUUCCCAUUUGCCACCUACUUUGAGUUUUAUACAUUUUUUCCAUGGACAAAUCAUAAUGUUGUGCUAAAAGAACCAUGAAAAAAUGGUUUGUAAAAUUUUGCUCACAGACCCACCUUUCAAUCCUUCAAAGAACCGUGAAAAAAUGGUUUGUGAUAUUUGAAUUUCUUUCAAUGUUAUUUCAAUUUCAUUUGCUCAAUUUAAUGAGUUGGGUCAAUUUAAUCUUAUAGGUAGAGACCAUGUUUGAGAAGUACAACUUUUACUGGGGUCUUCAUUCAAAUCCAAGUAGUUUUAACUUUAUAUUGCUUAAGGUGCUUAUAAAAAUGAAUUGAAAGUCAAAAUUGUGCUUAGUUAUUUUUCUGAACUUGUCAUCUUUCUCCACUAUUUUUCUUUCUCAAUUUUUUUCUUAUAGUUUUCAUCUAAUUUUUUACUUAAUUUUUUCUUUUUGUGCUGGCAGGUUUACUGGCUGGAUUAGUCAUUGACUCUGGUGAUGGUGUCACUCAUGUGGUAAAAAAUUUACAUACUUGUCAAGAGGAGAUUUAAAGGUAUAGUUCUAAGGGUUUUUUUUUUUCUCUCUUUUUCAUUUUAUUUCUUUUUUAGCUUUCUAAUCAAUCAAUGAGUUUUUGUUGAUGGGGUUAAUUCUCUCCAGCUUUCAGAUUAUGUCUAGAUAUUGUGUUUCUAAAAGGUGAGAUUGUUGAGCUACUUUUACCCAUUGUAGUUGUCAAUCUAGCUAGAAUAAAGGAUUUGGAUAUUGAUCUUCAAAACUAAUUUCACUUCAGGUUUUUUAUUGUUUAUUUGUCAUUAGAUUAUGGUGUUCUAUUCUUCAAUGUUGCUCUGUUUUGUAGGUUUAAUCAUGCUCUAAGGUCAGUUGCAAAUAUUAUACAAACUUCACAUAUAUGGCUCUGUUUUGUUGUUUAAUUUGCUCUUCUUUUAUAGACAAGAUAUCUUCAUUUUUUGAACUGGCCUGUCAAAUGGGGGUGGUGUCAGGAUCUCCAGUCUUUUAUAUUUGUAUUUGAGAGACAUAAAAGGUGCAUUGUUGGAUCUCAUCCCACCUCGUGGUUGACGUUGAUGAGAUAUCCAACAAUGAAUCCUUAGUAUAGAAUGAGCAUCAUAUUUAACAUCAAUCAUUCAUAUAGAAUUAGCUAUCUUAUAUCAUAAAUUGAGGGCAAAACGAUACGUUUCUUUAUUUAUUUCAUCAUAGUUGGUUUUGCAACUAAUGUAACUAUGGUCUAUCACUAAUAGUAUUUAAAUGUAGAUCCCAUAAAGGGUUUAGGGUUUAGGGUUUAGGGUUUAGGGUUUGAUUGACAACAUCUUAUUCUUUUUCUUUUUUACAUUCCUUGUGCUUGCUACAGAGUAAAAUUUUCUGUGACUGUUUGCUAUAUUCAUGUUAUACUCUCUUUAAGCGAAUUAUACUCUUGCACUAUGAUGUAUGCUUAUAUUCAUGUUGGCUUUGUAGGUUCAACUAAAACCGACAACUUCAUGAGUUUUCCUUCAAAGAAGUUUAUAUGGACCAUCAAAAUACACUGGCUAGCAUGGUUCAAGCAACAAAGAAUAUUUUCAAAGAUGAAGGCUUACCGGUUGGUUGUUUAUGCUUGUGUAGAAAAUCUUGUUAUAUGUAUUCUAAUGGUAUUUACACUAGUUUUGAUUAAGGGCUGAAAUUCCAUACUUGUAAAUUGUUCAAACUUGAUUGGAAAUGUAUGAAUAUUACAAAGUGUAUUAUAGCAUAUAUAUAUAUAUUUGUUUCUAUAUGGGUGUGAUGUAUUAUAACAUUAUUGUCAUUCAAAUGGUUCGUGUGAUGGCGAAGCGGCAAGAAGAGAACAAGGAAAAACUAUAGUAAUUAAAGAAUUUGCAAUAUGAAAAAAUGUAAUAAUAUAUGAAUUCGUGACGUUCCUUAAUUGUCGUCAAUAUUAAAACAAUGACAAUUUUUUGAUUAAAAAACUGUCACAAUCGGCCUAUCUUUGACAGGGAAAAAAUGUCGUCAAUAGCGAAACAAUGACAUUUGAUUGUAUAAAAAAAACUGUCACGAUUGGCAUAUCCUUGAGAUUUAAAAUAUGUCAUAAUAAAUGAAUUUGCGACAUUUUUUUAACUGCCGUUAAUACGCAAAUGAUGACAGUUAUUUGUUGUCAUAAUAUAGAAUAUGACAGUUAUUUGUUGUCAUAAAAUAGUAAUAAACGAAAGUUAUUUUCUGUCACGAAAAAACUUAUUGCGACAGUUUUCAAAAACUGUCAUGGAAUGACUUUUCAUGACUCCCGAUACUAUGACUGUAAAUAACUGUAAAAAAUUUUAUUCGUGAGAGAAAAUAACUGUCGUUGUAGACCAUUUUUGUUGUAGUGAACUCAUACUUAAAUGUGCUAUCUGUUUCACUUUGAUCACAUUAUGUUUCUUUAGAAAAUAAAAUAAACUAUAGGUGAUUUGUUUCUUUGAAUUGAAUCUUAAGAUUUUAGAAUAUGGUAAGACAAUUUGUUUCUUUAAAUUGAAUCUUAAGAUUUUAGAUCAUAUUAUGUUUCUUUUAAUUAAAUUGUAUUGUUUCUUCUUCCGUCGAUAUUGAAACACAUAGCUCAUACUUUAGUGUGCUCUUCAUUUAGCUUUGAUCAUAUUAUGUUUUUUUAGGAAAUAAAAUAAGUUUUGAUCUGCUUAGCUUUGUAUUUUACUGUUUGUUGAAUUCAGAGUAGUUGGAUUACGCUUUCUAUUGAUCCACCCUUUGCUUUCAAUGUAGUCAAUUUGUGGUUGUGAGCUGUACAGUACAGUUUAUAUUGGAUGACUUUCUUACUUCUUUGAUUACUAUACAAUGUGCUUGUUGUGUUUGUCCUUUUUUUCCACUCACCCUGCAUAUUCAUGAAGUUUUUCUCUAACUAAUCUUCUGUUACAUCUUGUGUUUUUGGUGGUUGCCUCCUCUACCCUUCUUAUAUGUGAAUCUGAUUGGUGGUUGCAACUAGAGAUUGACACGUAUCUCUCAAAGGAUCAAGCUACAUUUACUCUUCUUUUACAAGUAGGUUUACAUGAUAUAGCUAAACCUUCCAAAAAUUUUCAUAUCUUGGAUUGCACUUAUUUCUUACAAGUGAGUUAACUUUAACUUCAAGUCCAUUUUGUCAGAAAAAAUUCUAAGCUAAAAUACAUUGUGAAACUAAUAUCAUCCAUUAGCUGGUUUCCAUUUUUUAGAAGAAUUUAUUUUUUUGAAAAUCUUCAAAAAAUGCUCACCCUGACAUCUAAAUUGUUUUAGUUAAUAAGUUAACCAUUUGCUAACUCAAUUAUAAUGCAAGCGUUUAGAAAUAUGGUGUUUGAUGAAUUCAACACUUAAAAAGAAAGCAUUAUAGGUAUAUACAUACAUUCUUGAGUUGCUUACCUAUACUGUCACUUCAGUUUAGUUGCUUACUUACUAUGUCAAUCCAAUAUAAUCCAAAAUUUCAAAAUACAAUACUUUUUGUAUAUAAGCAAUAAAGUAUACUUUACUCUAUUUUUGGUAUAUACAACCACUUAACUAAUAUACCAAACACAAAAUAUAAAAGUUAUAAAAUUGAUAUAUCAAAGUAAUUAUCAUUUAUUAUAUAUCAUAUUUAUAAAUAUGGAAGUGUUUGUAAUGUCUCAUACCAAGGAUUUAGAAUAGUGUCCAGAAUUUUCAAAUUAGACCCUUGACACGACACAUUUUUUUGCGUUAUUUAACAUAUUUAUUCAAAUACAAUUAUUAUUUAUUUUACUUUCUCUUUCACUUGAAUUUUGUAGAGGACACACCAACUUCUUCUACUAAUACAUCGCUCUCAUAUCAUGUCACACCCUAUGUAAUUAUAAAAUAGAAGAAAAGACAUGGAAAAGACAACGUAGUAAAUACAUAACGUAUAUAUUAUAGGAUUCAUUGAUUUAUUUUAUAAUCCCAUUAUUUAUAUAUAUAUAUAUAUAUAUAUUGAUCGUAAAGGAGGGGAAGUACAUAACAUACAUAUGCAUAAAAGCAAUAGCUUUUGGUAGGGAGUUACAAGGGGAUAUCCCUUGUCAGCCAGAAGAUGGGUAAAAUACUAUGAAGAAUGUGAGCUGCUUGAAAUUCUCCCAUCUCUUCUCCCACACAACAGCCUCACAGUUUACCUCAAUAUUAUUUUCAUCCUUACACUUCAACCCCAGACGCCAAUUGGUUCCAGCCACCACUUGCGACUCGCACUUCAAUACACUAAGAAGGUACAAGUAAGGACGUUCAUGGCGGUGUUUUAUGUUGUAUUCUGUUACUGCCCAUUGUGCUACUUCUUUCGCAUGUUCACCAUCUGAAUUCUCACAUGGUCCAUAACCUCCCUUAAUUGAAUCAGAAGACAUUUUCCUACCUUACUUUCUUUCAAUACACACAAAGCUCUUAUAGAAUUUUUAAUUCGUGAUUUGUUUCGAAACAAGGGGUUUCAAAUUUAUACUACUCCAAUUUAUUCCACUCUUUUCCUUCGACUUAAUUUAUUAUUAAUUCUUUAAUUUAUGGAAUCUAAUACUCUACUUCUAAAAGGUAAUUAAGCAAGAAGGAAAAGUAGGUUUAUUAAAAUAUGAUAGUUUUGAAUUCGAAAAGCUAAACUAUAUAUACAUGCUUUUUGUGAGUUACACAAUGUAUUUAUUUAAAUAAUAAUACGUAUACUAUUUAAAAUAUAUGCUUCAAAUAAACUUUUGUUCACGUUGAAGUGAACAGUGAACAAGAUUUUAAAUUUCUGACAUAACCUUGAUGCAUUUUGCUUAAUUAACUGGGGGAUCACCUUAACCUUUUUAUUGUCUAAUAUUAAAUUUUGUACCUACCAUUGUCAUAUAUAAAUCACAUCCGGUAGGUCUUUAGAAGUUAAUUUACCUGUGUUCAGAUCACUUAUAUCAUCUAAAGCAUAGAAAUUUGGGUAUAGGUUUUCUAGUCUUUCUAAAUAAAAGUAAAGGUGUGUUUGGGAAUACAUUUUCACAUGUUUUUUAGUUCUGAAUUUUUUAUAAAAAUUUAUGAAGAAAUGGUGGAAAACCUUCUAAUCAUAUUGAAGUGUUUUGAAAACAUGCCAAAUAGCGUUUGAAGUGUAGUUCAACCAAGUAGUUAUAUUAAUUUUGUUUAAAGCAAAUUGCAUCCAAUCAAAAAAAAAAAAAACUGAAAAAAGCAGCACAUAGUACCUUUUUUCUUUUUCAUAUUGCAAACAUGACAAAUUUGACAAGUAAUUAGCGAUAUUAAGACAACUAUCGAAGGGAUAUCAAGCACUAUCAGAGAGUUAUUCGUUUUUUAAAUUUACCAUUUUUGCAAUUUAGAAAAUGCAGUAACAUUGGGUCUAUUAUUCUAAAUUAUUUUGCUAUUUUUACAAGUGUACUUUUAUUUAAAUUUUUACAAGUUUACUUUUCUUUUUAGAUGUGUUCAAAGUUUUUGUUUUAUUCGUUCGAAAAUAUUUUGUUUUGUUUAGGUCACAUGCAUGAGAUAAAAGAUAGGGAGAAGUUGGGUUUUUACAUUACUAUGUU
rnacentral:lncRNA from 1 species